CUGUUCAAACCUGCUCUGGCCUGAACACCAGCAGAGCGGCGGCAGCUCCACCUGUGGCCCCCCUGGCCGGGCCUGGGCCGCGGCGUUUCCAGCACGAGAGAAACUGAUCAGAGACUGAGUGAGCAGAGCUGCAACCUGGGGAGGGACUGUUCUGAGUUUGCCAUCUCUUUUUGGAGCAGCAAGAGGAGGCUACUAAUAGCACAAGAACUCCCCGGAGAAACCCACUGAAGCAAGGCCAUGACCCAUCUCUGUAGGAGGUGAUCCACCAUCAGCCUUCCUUUGUGGCUUUUCUGCAAGAUGAACAGCUUUAGAUUACACAGGAGCUCUGCAGUUCUCCAUAGAAGCCAUCAGCAAUUUGAAGUUGUCCUUGAUACGAAAGAAAGAAAGAAGCUUCAGAGAGGUCUUGGAUGUCUUUGGAGCCAAAGCAUCAGUGGCAGAUACCACCUCAGACUACAAGUCCAUGACCACAUCAGAGGUAUCCACUCAGGGUGGCCUAUAAUCUUCAGAGAUUCAUUCUUAUAAAUUCCAGGCCUCUCUAGGGUACCUUUAGUGCCACUGGAGGAAAGAAGUGCUUUUGAGGAAGAAAUCACUUCACCUAAUUUAUAAGGUGAUAAAUCAUGGUCUCAAGGAGACUAGAUCUCUGUUAAGGAAGCCCAUAUCAGUUGCUUAGAUUUCAAUAAUAAUUUUUUAGUGAGCUAAAGUCAGAGAGAAUUAGUUCUACCUAGAGAGUUUGAAAAUUGAAGAGAUAUUCCCCUCAAUGUUUUCCCUCAUUAUAUAAUCACCAUUUUAUGAAUCAACUGUAAAUAACAAGCAGCAUCUAAUCUUCUCCCUAGAGUAAUUAAAAUUAUGAUAAGGGAAACAACUCCAGAGCACUUGGCUACCUCCUAUCUCCUUGACAAGUGUCAAGUUGGUGUC